CUGCGCAGCCGCGGGGCGGCCGUCGCGCAUGCGGGGCUCACACGGCUGCAGCCGGCGCCGCUGCCACUCCCGGGAGCAUGAAGGACCGAACCCAGGAGCUCCGCACGGCCAAGGACAGCGAUGAUGAUGAUGAUGUCACUGUCACCGUGGACCGAGACCGCUUCAUGGAUGAGUUCUUUGAACAGGUGGAGGAGAUUCGAGGCUUCAUUGACAAGAUCGCAGAGAACGUGGAGGAGGUGAAGCGGAAGCACAGUGCCAUCCUGGCCUCCCCCAACCCCGAUGAGAAGACGAAGGAGGAGCUGGAAGAACUCAUGUCCGACAUAAAGAAGACAGCAAACAAAGUUCGUUCCAAGUUAAAGAGCAUCGAGCAGUCCAUCGAGCAAGAGGAAGGCCUGAACCGCUCCUCUGCUGACCUGAGGAUCCGGAAGACACAGCACUCCACGCUGUCCAGAAAGUUUGUGGAGGUCAUGUCGGAGUACAACGCCACGCAGUCCGACUACCGCGAGCGCUGCAAGGGCCGUAUCCAGAGGCAGCUGGAGAUCACCGGCAGGACCACGACCAGUGAGGAGCUAGAGGACAUGCUGGAGAGUGGGAACCCCGCCAUCUUUGCCUCUGGGAUCAUCAUGGACUCCAGCAUCUCGAAGCAGGCUCUGAGCGAAAUUGAGACGCGGCACAGCGAGAUCAUCAAGCUGGAGAACAGCAUCCGUGAGCUGCACGACAUGUUCAUGGACAUGGCCAUGCUUGUGGAGAGCCAGGGUGUUUUCCUGAAGUCCUGCCUCGAGCCCCAACCCAACCCUGAGGAGGGGGCCCUCUGGAGCUCGGGUGCCCCCCGCCCCACAGGGGGAGAUGAUUGACAGGAUCGAGUACAACGUGGAACACGCGGUAGACUACGUGGAGAGGGCCGUGUCUGACACCAAGAAAGCCGUCAAGUACCAGAGCAAGGCGCGCCGGAAGAAAAUCAUGAUCAUCAUCUGCUGUGUGAUCCUGGGCAUCGUCAUCGCCUCCACUGUCGGGGGCAUCUUCGCCUAGAAGCCACCCAAACUGCCACUCCACUCCGAGUGGGCCACUCUGAGGAGGCCCUGGCUGCUGCUACUUGGCUGGGCUGCCCUCCCAACCCCCGCCUCUGGCUCAGAGCACCCUCCCUCCUGGCCCCCAUGCUCCCUUCUCUGCCAUGGGCCCUCCGUCCCCGCCCCGUGUCGUGUGCAUGAUCUCUGUGUGCGUCUGUAUGGAAGAGGCAGAGGGAGGCAGCCAGCGGGGCGGGACGCAGUGUGUGCAGCGAGGGGCAGACCCAGGCAGGGCCGCCAGGGUGACACAGGCCAUCCUUGCCUUCAGUAACUCGGUGGGACCGGGUUCUCCUCUUCCCUGGGGACCCUAACCUUGCCUCCAACUGACCUGCCCUGUCCUCUGGCCUCUCCAGCUGUCCCCACAAGCAGAGCCCUGAGGGGUGGGGACCAGCUGGCCACAUGGUGCUGCUUUUCAGGUUAGGGGAGAGGUGGCCGUGAGGGACAGCCCAGCUCUGAGCCUCAAUCGCUGAUCACUGCCAGGGAGACUCAGGCUGCCAUGGCUCCAGGCUCCCUCCCCUGCCUAGGGGCAAAGUCCAUCGGGUCCUGGGCCUCAGCUUCCCUUCUGACAUUCCUCCAGCCCCAGGAGCAACCCCUUGGGCUGGGCCUGACCCCAGGUGUCCCUCUGGAAGGGGCUGGUUGGUGCCCCAUCUCCAGCCACCCCAGCAGCCAGGGAGGCAGAGCAGGCUGCUGUCAGGCCCUCGAGCCAGCGUUGCAUGUUUGGGAUGGUGGCCCCUGCUGUCUUGCGCUCUGGGAAGUCAGAUGUCAUUUCAGGCCUGCAGUCUCAUCCUGCCCUUGCCAUCCCCCAUCGACGUGCCACGUGGGUGUCAGGUGUCCCGGAUGCAGUAUUCGGCAGCCAGCCAGGGAGGGCUACCUCGUCCUCCUCACCACCUUGGGGCUUCUCAUGGGAAAUGUGCCCCCGCCCCAGCACCCCCUCCCUCGUGGACAGGCAGGGAGAUGCAUGCGAGUGCAUGCAGCAGGGGAUGGGGCCGUGUCCGUGUGCCCCACCCUCCCUCGGCUUUACUCCUGCCCAGUGACUGUAACCGUCCGUGUUGCCUUCUUGAACAGCGAUUCCCCCCAACCCCUUCACCAAAGGUCUUGGUACAACCAGCUGCCCAUUUUGUGAAAUUUUUAUGUAGAAUAAACAUUUGUAUCUGUA